rnacentral:piRNA from 1 species
UGUGCCCAGUGCGCUACAAAGCGGUCUC